rnacentral:rRNA from 1 species
AAUCGGAAUUACUGGGCGUAAAGCGUGCGCAGGCGGUUAUGUAAGACAGAGGUGAAAUCCCCGGGCUCAACCUGGGAACUGCCUUUGUGACUGCAUAGCUGGAGUGCGGCAGAGGGGGAUGGAAUUCCGCGUGUAGCAGUGAAAUGCGUAGAUAUGCGGAGGAACACCGAUGGCGAAGGCAAUCCCCUGGGCCUGCACUGACGCUCAUGCACGAAAGCGUGGGGAGCAAACAGGAUUAGAUACCCUGGUAGUCCACGCCCUAAACGAUGUCAACUGGUUGUUGGGUCUUCACUGACUCAGUAACGAAGCUAACGCGUGAAGUUGACCGCCUGGGGAGUACGGCCGCAAGGUUAAAACUCAAAGGAAUUGACGGGGACCCGCACAAGCGGUGGAUGAUGUGGUUUAAUUCGAUGCAACGCGAAAAACCUUACCCACCUUUGACAUGUACGGANUCCUUUAGAGAUAGAGGAGUGCUCGAAAGAGAGCCGUAACACAGGUGCUGCAUGGCUG